rnacentral:rRNA from 1 species
AUUGAACGCUGGCGGCAGGCCUAACACAUGCAAGUCGAACGAGUGGCGGACGGGUGAGUAAUGUCUGGGAAACUGCCUGAUGGAGGGGGAUAACUACUGGAAACGGUAGCUAAUACCGCAUACCAUCAGAUGUGCCCAGAGGGGAUUAGCUAGUAGGUGGGGUAACGGCUCACCUAGGCGACGAUCCCUAGCUGGUCUGAGAGGAUGAGCAGCCACCCUGGAACGGAGACACGGUCCAGACGCCUACGGGAGGCAGCAGUGGGGAAUAUGGCACAAUGGGCGCAAGUCUGAUGCAGACAUGCCGCGGGUGUGAAGAAGGUCUGCGGGUUGUAAAGUACUUUCAGCGGGGAGGCGUUACCCGCAGAAGAAGCACCGGCUAACUCCGUGCCAGCCGCCGCGGUAAUAC